UACGAAGGGGGCUAGCGUUGCUCGGAAUUACUGGGCGUAAAGGGCGCGUAGGCGGAUACUUAAGUUAGAGGUGAAAGCCCAGGGCUCAACCCUGGAACAGCCUUUAAUACUGGGUAUCUUGAGUUCGGGAGAGGUGAGUGGAACUCCGAGUGUAGAGGUGAAAUUCGUAGAUAUUCGGAAGAACACCAGUGGCGAAGGCGACUCACUGGCCCGAUACUGACGCUGAGGUGCGAAAGCGUGGGGAGCAAACAGG
rnacentral:rRNA from 1 species